AAAAGUAGAGGUGCAAUUAUUAUAAGUAUUUUUUCUGAGUGGAUAACGAUGAAGAAAAAAGAAAGGAAUGAUUGCCGAAAUUAGUUGAAAGUCAUUUCAGCUAGUUGGUGGCGUACUUGAAAGGGGCGUCACUGUCAUAGUUUUUUUGAUUAACUAUGGAGCGCUACGGU
rnacentral:ncRNA from 1 species